UGCCCAUUGGCCCAGUGGUGAAGGCGUCUGACUGUUAUUCAAAUAACAAAGUAAUCAGAAGAUCCCUGGUUCGACCCCAGGAUGGGCAG